UUCUAUUUGUGUAUUUAAAAUGAUAAUCUGCCAGAAUUUCAACAUAUGACACAUUUUUCUUAUCAUCCAAAAAGCAUAUUGGGCACCUCUAUGUGAUCUGCUAGUCUCCAAUAUCUUAUAUAGUAUGUAUGGGCCAAAUUGAUUCAUAGUCUUUCCCUGUUCUAACUCAAUAACCAUAACAGUUUGCAAAUUGGAGCUUGAUUCCAGACCUUCAAGUUAAUGGUCAAGCCUCCUACACCUUUAGG
rnacentral:lncRNA from 1 species